rnacentral:snoRNA from 2 species
GCCAAUGAUGAAAUCGCCCAAUUGGUUUGAUGCUGCUGUCGUCUCCAAGUUCCUGCUUGUCAGGAAGAACCUACUUGGAGCCGCUUCAGUCGCUUGAUAACUCUGGGCAAAUCUGAGGU